GACAUUUUCGCUAACUAUUUGCUUACAAAUUUACCGAUUUCAUUUUUUUUUUGGUACCGUUGAAUAAAGAAUUUUACGCUGCUUACUAUAGGUAGAAAAGUUUAUAAAGAACCAGCUGCUCAAUAUGCGCACAAACCCAUUUUUCAACACAAAAUCGAUAGAAAAUCUGGUGGCAGAGAGAAAAGACGACCGCAAUAUAUUUUCUCUCGCUUGUUAUUAAAGAAACCGCAAGAACAAAGCAGCCGCCGUACUUCGUUUCUUUGUACCUGCCGGGGAUUUAAAGCCUAUGACGUAGCCUGAAGGCCUACUCAGUGUCGUCUCGUACGGGAAGUGAGUUAAACGUGUUAUAAGGCAUUUAAAAUCUGUUGUGUGUUUUUUUUUGAAGUAUAAUAGUGAAAUAGACUAUAGUUUUUUUAGUUCGACUAUCCGAUUUUUAUUGUAAAAGGUAAGUAAAAUUGGUUUAAAUUAUUCAAUUGUCUAAUAAUUUAAAAAAAUAAAUGAAAAUUAAUUACUUUUAAAAAUUAUAUUAUUUAAAAUAUACUUUGAUUUUAAGUGACAAAAUAAUAGGUAUUUAACUUCUAGGUAUAUAUGUACAGCCUAGAGUGUGCAUGUGUAUAUUAAUUUUUUUACUUUCUAAUUUUUUUUAGAUGUCACCUAAGAAAGUAGGCAAACAAGGACAAAUAAUUCACAGCCAAGGGAGAGAGAUUAUUUCUAACGUGGCAGCUUUUAUGAAAAAAGAAGCAGAGCAAGGAAUUACUAUUCCUUUAAAAAAUGUUAGACAACGUACGUUAGAGUUAUAUGAAAUAGUAUCUGAAAAUAAAAAAAAGUAUCCUGUAAAAACCAAGUUGGACGACUUAAUGGAAAAGCAUGGACCCAUUGUGUUACGUUUGCCUCCAUACCACCCAGAGCUUAAUCCGAUAGAAAAAAUUUGGGCAACUGUUAAGAAUUGGGUGGCAAGCAGAAAUUCCACCGAUAGUGAAUAAAAAUAUGUAAUAUGUAAAAUAAUGAAAUAAAACUUUAAGCU